GGGUAAAUAAAAACCGGGACCAUUCUGCGCCAUUGUUUACUCACAACUCAGAUUUUUAACACACAUUAUAAUAUUGUCAAUUUACAAAUUUUUACACAACAUGCCUCCCAAGAAAAAAAAAAUGUCUGUCUUCUUCAUCUUCUUUUUUUUUUUUUUUUUUUUAGCAUCAACGUCAACAUGCAGGUCUCAGAGGGAUGCUAUCAACACCAUGAUGAGUUUUGUGCAGCAGCAAUGCCAUCUCCCUAUUUGGAUUAACGUCCAGCCCGUGUCAACAGCCCUCGUCGAGAGCCAGGCCUUAAAGACAGAAGCCCGGAGAUGUGAUUAAACGCUGCACAGUCACCCUCAGUCAGCAGGAUGCUGACCAGAGGCGGACACGGACAGCCAAACCAAUAAACACAGUGCCUCUUUGAACUCCACGCAGCUGACAAUCAGCCUUCCUCUCACAGUGUGGAUCAAGGAGAGUGCCUGACGUCAAAAGAAGUGGUUAAAGACAAGAGGGAGAUUCAUGGUUGAAGGCAAACAGACAUGCUUCAAUCUGUCACGCAAACACACACGUGCUGGAAUUUUUGAAGCAAAGCAACCAGUACUUGAGGCAGUUUCUGUCCUAAUUCUUCUAAGAGAGAAUAAACAGCAGAUUAUGUUUUUUAUGUCAUACAUGGAAUUAACACAGCCUGACAUAACACUCGGCAGGAAAACACAACAAAUAUAAACAGUAUUAUAAAGAUGUGUUUAAAAAAAGGUUUCCUCUCAGCGCAAACAUUAUUGUCUGUGAGGAGUUGAGAAAGGAGAUUUUAGGCAGACUUACAUAGCUUUGCGUUCAUGCCUCACAUCCUGUGGAGUCUUUAUGCUCGUCCUGCGAGUGUCUGCUGGAAUGCUUUGUUGAAUGCGUUGGUUUUAUUUCUGUCAGACUGUCAGUUUGUGUGUGUUUGCGUGUGCCACUAAUCGGAGCCCGACCACUGAGCUGGCUGGGCUGUCCUAUCUGUCAUGCAUCAAAAAGGCCUCCUUCGUGUCUGCAGAGCAUAUCAGCUUUUCUGUCUUGUCACUUCAGGAAUCACGUCUGCACAGGACCCUCCGGUCAUCACACGCACACAAAAGCACACCAUGAUACGUCCCGCCCCCAUCCAGCCACUGUGUUAGCUCGACCAAGUGUGUUCUCCUGAGGUGCACACACUCACAGAGACUACAUCCCUCAUCACUCAUGAUGGAGGAGCAGGCCUGACACAUGGACAGAAAUAGUCCUAACUCACCUCCUGAGUCCUCCUGUUCCUCAUAAGAUCUACUCAAAUAUCAUUUCAGGGUAACUUUUUCUGACUUUUUGUUUCCGAAAAGCUCUACAGCCAUCUCCUUCUCUAGCAACAUCUUUUUUUAGUGAUAAAAUCAGAAAACUUCCACAAGUUCUGUUAGCAAUAUUUUGUAUUAUCAUCAUAGUAUCAUCAUCAAGUGUGUCCAUGUGAGUGACAGCUAAUGGGACAUCAACUUUAACUAAAUAAAGGCUUUUAAAUUGUUUCUUUGAUUAUUCUGGAACAUGCUUGAAGCAAGUUCAAAGUAUUGGUGGCAUAUAAAUAAAUUAAAAAAGUAAUAAUAUUAAAUGAAAAUUCUGUCAAACACAUAUAUUUGGUGCCAAGUUUUAAUACAGGCAAUGCAGAAGUUUAAAAUAUAUAUUUUUUUAAAGUUAACGGAGACAACAUUAGACAGACACACUAUAGAGAUGGAAAGCAAAUAAGGUCAACUUGGAGGGUG
rnacentral:lncRNA from 1 species